rnacentral:rRNA from 1 species
CACGUAGGGCGCAAGCGUUGUCCGGAAUCAUUGGGCGUAAAGAGCUCGUAGGUGGUUUGUCACGUCUGCUGUGAAAACUCGGGGCUUAACCCCGAGCUUGCAGUGGAUACGGGCAGACUAGAGGUAGGUAGGGGAGAAUGGAAUUCCCGGUGUAGCGGUGAAAUGCGCAGAUAUCGGGAGGAACACCGGUGGCGAAGGCGGUUCUCUGGGCCUGUACUGACGCUGAGGAGCGAAAGCGUGGGGAGCGAACAGG